UGUGAGCUCGAUGAGUAGGGCGGGACACGUGGUAUCCUGUCUGAAUAUGGGGGGACCAUCCUCCAAGGCUAAAUACUCCUGACUGACCGAUAGUGAACCAGUACCGUGAGGGAAAGGCGAAAAGAACCCCGGCGAGGGGAGUGAAAAAGAACCUGAAACCGUGUACGUACAAGCAGUGGGAGCACGCUUAGGCGUGUGACUGCGUACCUUUUGUAUAAUGGGUCAGCGACUUAUAUUCUGUAGCAAGGUUAACCGAAUAGGGGAGCCGAAGGGAAACCGAGUCUUAACUGGGCGUUAAGUUGCAGGGUAUAGACCCGAAACCCGGUGAUCUAGCCAUGGGCAGGUUGAAGGUUGGGUAACACUAACUGGAGGACCGAACCGACUAAUGUUGAAAAAUUAGCGGAUGACUUGUGGCUGGGGGUGAAAGGCCAAUCAAACCGGGAGAUAGCUGGUUCUCCCCGAAAGCUAUUUAGGUAGCGCCUCGUGAAUUCAUCUCCGGGGGUAGAGCACUGUUUCGGCAAGGGGGUCAUCCCGACUUACCAACCCGAUGCAAACUGCGAAUACCGGAGAAUGUUAUCACGGGAGACACACGGCGGGUGCUAACGUCCGUCGUGAAGAGGGAAACAACCCAGACCGCCAGCUAAGGUCCCAAAGUCAUGGUUAAGUGGGAAACGAUGUGGGAAGGCCCAGACAGCCAGGAUGUUGGCUUAGAAGCAGCCAUCAUUUAAAGAAAGCGUAAUAGCUCACUGGUCGAGUCGGCCUGCGCGGAAGAUGUAACGGGGCUAAACCAUGCACCGAAGCUGCGGCAGCGACGCUUAUGCGUUGUUGGGUAGGGGAGCGUUCUGUAAGCCUGCGAAGGUGUGCUGUGAGGCAUGCUGGAGGUAUCAGAAGUGCGAAUGCUGACAUAAGUAACGAUAAAGCGGGUGAAAAGCCCGCUCGCCGGAAGACCAAGGGUUCCUGUCCAACGUUAAUCGGGGCAGGGUGAGUCGACCCCUAAGGCGAGGCCGAAAGGCGUAGUCGAUGGGAAACAGGUUAAUAUUCCUGUACUUGGUGUUACUGCGAAGGGGGGACGGAGAAGGCUAUGUUGGCCGGGCGACGGUUGUCCCGGUUUAAGCGUGUAGGCUGGUUUUCCAGGCAAAUCCGGAAAAUCAAGGCUGAGGCGUGAUGACGAGGCACUACGGUGCUGAAGCAACAAAUGCCCUGCUUCCAGGAAAAGCCUCUAAGCAUCAGGUAACAUCAAAUCGUACCCCAAACCGACACAGGUGGUCAGGUAGAGAAUACCAAGGCGCUUGAGAGAACUCGGGUGAAGGAACUAGGCAAAAUGGUGCCGUAACUUCGGGAGAAGGCACGCUGAUAUGUAGGUGAAGCGACUUGCUCGUGGAGCUGAAAUCAGUCGAAGAUACCAGCUGGCUGCAACUGUUUAUUAAAAACACAGCACUGUGCAAACACGAAAGUGGACGUAUACGGUGUGACGCCUGCCCGGUGCCGGAAGGUUAAUUGAUGGGGUUAGCGCAAGCGAAGCUCUUGAUCGAAGCCCCGGUAAACGGCGGCCGUAACUAUAACGGUCCUAAGGUAGCGAAAUUCCUUGUCGGGUAAGUUCCGACCUGCACGAAUGGCGUAAUGAUGGCCAGGCUGUCUCCACCCGAGACUCAGUGAAAUUGAACUCGCUGUGAAGAUGCAGUGUACCCGCGGCAAGACGGAAAGACCCCGUGAACCUUUACUAUAGCUUGACACUGAACAUUGAGCCUUGAUGUGUAGGAUAGGUGGGAGGCUUUGAAGUGUGGACGCCAGUCUGCAUGGAGCCGACCUUGAAAUACCACCCUUUAAUGUUUGAUGUUCUAACGUGGACCCGUAAUCCGGGUUGCGGACAGUGUCUGGUGGGUAGUUUGACUGGGGCGGUCUCCUCCUAAAGAGUAACGGAGGAGCACGAAGGUUGGCUAAUCCUGGUCGGACAUCAGGAGGUUAGUGCAAUGGCAUAAGCCAGCUUGACUGCGAGCGUGACGGCGCGAGCAGGUGCGAAAGCAGGUCAUAGUGAUCCGGUGGUUCUGAAUGGAAGGGCCAUCGCUCAACGGAUAAAAGGUACUCCGGGGAUAACAGGCUGAUACCGCCCAAGAGUUCAUAUCGACGGCGGUGUUUGGCACCUCGAUGUCGGCUCAUCACAUCCUGGGGCUGAAGUAGGUCCCAAGGGUAUGGCUGUUCGCCAUUUAAAGUGGUACGCGAGCUGGGUUUAGAACGUCGUGAGACAGUUCGGUCCCUAUCUGCCGUGGGCGCUGGAGAAUUGAGGGGGGCUGCUCCUAGUACGAGAGGACCGGAGUGGACGCAUCACUGGUGUUCGGGUUGUCAUGCCAAUGGCACUGCCCGGUAGCUAAAUGCGGAAGAGAUAAGUGCUGAAAGCAUCUAAGCACGAAACUUGCCCCGAGAUGAGUUCUCCCUGACUCCUUGAGAGUCCUGAAGGAACGUUGAAGACGACGACGUUGAUAGGCCGGGUGUGUAAGCGCAGCGAUGCGUUGAGCUAACCGGUACUAAUGAACCGUGAGGCUUAACCUUACAACGCCGAAG
rnacentral:rRNA from 1 species